rnacentral:rRNA from 1 species
CAGUAGCCACGGUAAGGCAUAGGAUGCAAGCGUUAUCCGGAAUGAUUGGGCGUAAAGCGAGCGCAGGCGGUUAGAUAAGUCUGAAGUUAAAGGCUGUGGCUUAACCAUAGUACGCUUUGGAAACUGUUUAACUUGAGUGCAAGAGGGGAGAGUGGAAUUCCAUGUGUAGCGGUGAAAUGCGUAGAUAUAUGGAGGAACACCGGUGGCGAAAGCGGCUCUCUGGUCUGUAACUGACGCUGAGGAGCGAAAGCGUGGGGAGCGAACAGGAUUAGAGACCCGCGUAGUCCCUGUCUCUUAUACA